CGUAUUUGCCUGAGGAAACAGGAUGUUUUCCUCUUUGCAUUCCAGUUGUUUUGGGCUUUGAUUGCCAAUACUAGUGAUAUGGUUGCUGCCUCUGGUACACUCUAUUUAAGAACCUCAGGCUGAUCACAUGGCAAGCCUUAAGAAGCAUUAGACUCUGAAGCACAGUUACAAGCAGACUUGUUGGAGGUAAAUUACUCACUGUCCUUUGUGAUGCCUGAAUGACAGCGCAGUUGCCUGAGUGCUGAGAUUGUGCUUCAGUGUGACAACUGAAACCCAGCAAGAUCUGGAAGAAGAUGGUGCUCACAGAGGCAAGAUGAGACCAGUAAGCUGUGUGAGGAAAUGAUUUGCAACCUAAGGAGAGGGAAGCUCAAUGACUUUGCUACAGCAUCUUUCCCAGUGUAAGGAGGCCUUCUGGUGGUCAAAACAGUGAAUACUUCUUCCAGAGAGCAUUACUCAUCCAAAUGCAAUAGAAGAGCAACUCCAUGCUCCCAGCUUUAUUCACAAUUCCAUGUGAAAACCACCCUUUCAAGCGUGCAUUUCCCACUGGAGGGAGAAGAGGGGAAAGGCAACACAGAGGAGGAGCAACACACUGAAGAUGGGGCCUGCAUGUCAACAGUUGAAAAGAAAAUGCAGUUUUACUUCUGCAAAGUGUCUGAAAAUCAGCAAGAUCUCUUGGGCUGAGGUGGUGAGAGACGUGGAGUAAGUUUUACAGAAGCUUCAGAGACCUGGUGCAAUUUCUCUUUACUGGUUGAACUGCUAAGGAGACUGCCCAGAAAGCAGUGCAUACAAACUCAUUCCCUUCUUCCAGAAGGCAAUUCAACUCCCUCAGAACACCUCCAUGAACUGCUAUGUUUGAUGGCUGAUAAUUCUAAGCAUUUAUCAUUUUAGCUGUUUCACUUUGCCCGGAUUCUUUAAA
rnacentral:lncRNA from 1 species